UAAAUAAAUAAAACCAAAGCCAUUAUUUUGUACCCAUCCUCAUCUUCUUCAACCAAUUGUAACCUAGAAAAGCCAUGGAUACAUCCGGCCAAGCUUGUGAGCUAAAUUAGAAAGAAGAAAAAGGCUAUUGCAUGUUAAUUUUGAGCUCAAUUAGGAGCUGGUUCCAUAAGAAAUUCAGUGGCAGCAAGAAGAGGAAGGAUAUCGUUCAAGGGUGGGCUCGACUGCUGUUCAGCUUCGUGCUGGAAUUGUAUCCGGGCUUAAAGACCCGCAGGCUAUAUGCUGGAAUUGUAUCCGGGCUUAAAGACCCGCAGGCUUCGUGCUGGAAUUGUAUCCGGACUUAAGAUCAACAGGCUUCGUGCUGGUACUAUAUCCGGACUUAAGGUCCGCAGGCUUCGUACUGGUGCUAUAUCCGGGGUUAACGUCCCGUAGGCUUUGUGUUGGUGAUUGAAUUCGGGGUUUAAACCUAGCUGGCUUAAAGCCGAUGAUUCGAAUAAGAUUAUGAAUUUGAAGGUUCGAGGUAAACUACUACUGAUUAUGUAUGCUACAUUAUGAGGGCCAGGUAUGUAUUAUGUACUCGUAUGCGAUUUUGAUUUGGAUUGAAUUAUAAGUGUAUAAAGUGAUGCAUAUGUGAAUAAGUAUUACAACUAUAAAUGUGAUCGUGAUACAUUCGGUAAAUCUGUGAAGUUAUGUGGAAGUAUAUGAUUGUUAUAUGUGAUUAUGAUCAUGGAAAAUUAAAUGUCGAGAUGAUAUUGUAUUUUUUUCGUUUUGAUUGAAUUAAAGUUGAUAGUGAAGCAUUUUAAAUGCCUAUGUUAUAUAAGUUCAAUCUUGAAUGACAUGAUAUACAUGUUUAAAUAAUAUGAAAGCAAAGAAUGUGUGAAAGAGUAUAUUGUAAUAAAUCUGCUUGGGACAGCAGCAGUAACAUGAUUUUUGAAAAAUCACCAUAAAUAGUGGGAGUUGAGUUAGAGGCUAAAUAAAUUAUGUAAUAAAGCUUAAUGAGUUUAGUUUCUUAUAAAAGAAACUGUGUAAACAAAAGAAUUUCCGAUAAUGAGAUAUUUGAAGUGGCGUGGGACAGAGUCAAAAUGACUUCGAAGUCCCCUGUUCUAUUUUUAGAAAAUCAUUGUAAAUUGUAAAAUGAUGGUUAUAAAAUAAAAUUUAUAUGCUUAGACUCCUUAAUGAGUCUAGUUUCAAAUGAAAUAAACAAUAACAUAUUUUGAAUUCUGUACAAUGAGAAAUUUGAUUCAUAGUGAAGAGUGUUCAGAUUAGUCAAAUAGUGAAACAGGGGAAACUUUAAGAAAAAUCUGGUAUUGAUUGGCCAAAUCAAAAAUUCUGAAAAUUUUAUGGAUAGAAGGUAUAUGAGUCUAUUUUCAGGAAAAAUUAACAGAAAUUGAUUUGGAGUUUCGUAGCUCCAGUUAUAAAUAAUUUAGUGACUAUUGCUCAGGAAGACAACUUGUAGUGAAUUUGUGUUUAUGUUGUAAACAUUGAUAAAACUUGUUAAUGAGUUGCUUAUUGUUUUCUUAUGAACUUACUAAGCGUAAAACUUACUACCCUUUUCUUUCCCAUAUUCCCUAGGGUUGCCAGGUUAGCUCAGGUUGGAGGCCGUCAGAGAUAUUAUCAUAUUGUCAAGUCUACGCUAUCGGCGCAAGUAAAUCUUAGUGUUUCGAGUCUAUGGCAUGUAUAGGGUUGUAAAGUUGAGUAUGAAAUAUUAUGAUUAAGUCAAAGACUUUGGCUUAUUAUUAAGGUAGUUUGAUUAUACAUACGCUUGUAUAUUAUUAUCUCCUGUGAUGUGGUUUAUAGCAUGUAUAUUUAGAAUUUGAAUUGUGAUUCAUUGUUGAGUAAGUAAAUGAUACAAGACUAAGAUAUUGGUAAAUAUUUAAUAAUGCAUCAUGAAUGUUUUGGGCCUUGUAAGCCCGAUUAAAGGAUAAAAUAA